AGCAGCCGCGGUAAUUCCAGCUCCAAUAGCGUAUAUUAAAGUUGUUGCAGUUAAAAAGCUCGUAGUUGAAUUUCGGGGUUAGUAGAUUGGUCAUGCCUCUGGUAUGCACUGGUCUCACUGAUUCCUCCUUCCUGAUGAGCCGUAAUGCCAUUAAUUUGGUGUUGCGGGGAAUUUGGACUGUUACUUUGAAAAAAUUAGAGUGUUUAAAGCAAGCUAACGCUUGAAUAUAUUAGCAUGGAAUAAUGAAAUAGGACGUUCGAUCCUAUUUUGUUGGUUUCUAGGAUUGACGUAAUGAUUAAUAGGGAUAGUUGGGGGCAUUAGUAUUCAAUUGUCAGAGGUGAAAUUCUUGGAUUUAUUGAAGACUAACUACUGCGAAAGCAUUUGCCAAGGAUGUUUUCAUUAAUCUAAGAACGAAAGUUAGGGGAUCGAAGACGAUCAGAUACCGUCGUAGUCUUAACCAUAAACUAUGCCGACUAGGGAUCGGAUGAUGUUAAUUUUUUAAUUGUACUCAUUCGGUCCG
rnacentral:rRNA from 1 species